CUGACCGUGUUAUGCAGUUCUAUGCAUCGCUCCUAAGCUUGCUCUUAUUGACUUGUUUUUGUCCUGCCUUGCAGAUCUGGUCAUUUUUGUGACUACGUUCCUGGAUUCCAAGGUUCCUGUUCUCUGUGUCAUGCUCAGGUGAGCGUUGGAAAUAAUACCCCACCGAUCCAGCAGAGAGCCUCCCUUCCACUCCUGCCUCCAGUCCUGCCACUCUAAAAUCACCUCGUGGAGACACCUUAUCCUUGCUCACCUGCCUGUCCACCCUCCAACACCACAUGCCCUGUUAACAUGGAGAGACUCAAAGAUCACAUGGGAAACAGAAAAAUGGCAGCGCUCCAUCCCUCCUUUUCUGCCAAACUCAGUCACCGUGUGGGAAGGCUUAUCUCCUCCAACAAGCCCUCAUCAACCACCAACAUGAAGAUCCUGUUCCAAUUGGCAGUUCUAGUCCAGGUCCAAACCCACACUGCUUGCAUAUUCAAUAAACUGUUAAACGCUA